rnacentral:rRNA from 1 species
UACGGGGGGGGCAAGCGUUGUUCGGAAUUACUGGGCGUAAAGGGCUCGUAGGUGGUCAACUAAGUCAUACGUGAAAUCCCUCGGCUUAACCGGGGAACUGCGUCUGAUACUGGAUGGCUUGAGUUCGGGAGAGGGAUGCGGAAUUCCAGGUGUAGCGGUGAAAUGCGUAGAUAUCUGGAGGAACACCGGUGGCGAAGGCGGCAUCCUGGACCGAUACUGACGCUGAUGAGCGAAAGCCAGGGGAGCAAACGGG